GAUGAACGCUGGCGGCAUGGCUAAGGCAUGCAAGUCGAAUGAUUAGUUUACUAAUCAUGGCAAACGGGAGAGUAACACAUUGGUAAUCUACCCUGGGGUCGAGAAUAACCCGGAGAAAUCCGGGAUAAUACUCGAUAAUAGUGGGGGGUCAAAUGACAUUCCCACUUAAAGUUACGGCGCCCCGGGAGGAGCCUAUGGCCUAUCAGCUUGUUGGUGAGGUAAAAGCUCACCAAGGCAAUGACGGGUAGCGGGUGUGAGAGCACGACCCGUCCCACUGGGACUGAGACACUGCCCAGACUCCUACGGGUGGCAG
rnacentral:rRNA from 1 species